CAUGUGGGUGGUGUCCUUCCCCCUGCAAGCAGGCACUAUUAAUAUAUGCAAAGCAUAUGCAAAUCACCCAGAAGAGAGACACAACAUCGCAGGAAUGUCAGAAGAGACCUUGGAGAUCAUCCAGGCCAGCCCCCUCAUUUCAGGGCAGGAGCUGCUUCCCAGCCAAAUCCAAAGCCUUCAUCUCCUCUUUUCAGAGCUGGGAAUGAAAGAAGGGGAAGCGAGUGCAGCCCUCAAACCCGCUGACGGCCAGAUUUUUAUUAUCUCUGCUCAAAUAAGCCCUGGGAAGCCAGCUACCGAGUCUUCAAAGAGCCCCUGAGUGCCUCAUUGAAGCUGCACCUGCUCUGGCCCACCCACAGCAGGCUCGGGCUAGGGCACAACUUAUCCCCAGCGCCCCCAGCUCCAGGGACCUGAGCCAAGGAUGCCAGAAGCCUCAACCUCAGCACCUCAGGUCCAGGCCGGGGCCAUGAGGUCAGGGAGCCGGGCCAGACCUGGCCCAGCUGGGCAUCUAGGCAGUCCCUGGCCCUAUCUGGGCCUGAGCAACAUAAAUGAAGGAGGAAAAUGAAUCUCCUUGCCAGA